rnacentral:rRNA from 1 species
AGCUCCAAUAGCGUAUAUUAAAGUUGUUGCAGUUAAAAAGCUCGUAGUUGGAUUUGUGGUGUGUCCAGUCGGCCUUUGCUCUUUGAGUGAUUGUGCUGUACUGGUCUGCCAUGUUUGGGUGGAAUCUGUGUGGCAUUAGGUUGUCGUGCAGGGGAUGCCCAUCGUUUACUGUGAAAAAAUUAGAGUGUUCAAAGCAGGCUUAUGCCGUUGAAUAUAUUAGCAUGGAAUAAUGAUAUAGGACCUUGGUACUAUUUUGUUGGUUUGCGCACUAAGGUAAUGAUUAAGAGGGACAGUUGGGGGUAUUUGUAUUCCAUUGUCAGAGGUGAAAUUCUUGGAUUUUUGGAAGACAAACUACUGCGAAAGCAUUUACCAAGGAUGUUU